rnacentral:rRNA from 1 species
CACGUAGGGCGCAAGCGUUGUCCGGAAUUAUUGGGCGUUAAAGAGCUCGUAGGCGGUUUGUCGCGUCUGCUGUGAAAUCCCGAGGCUCAACCUCGGGGUCUGCAGUGGGUACGGGCAGACUGGAGUGCGGUAGGGGGAGAAUGGAAUUCCUGGUGUAGCGGGUGGAAUGCGCAGAUAUCAGGAGGAACACCGGUGGCGAAGGCGGUUCUCUGGGCAUGACCUACGUGAGGAGCGAAAGUGUGGGGAGCGAACAGG